GACGAACGCUGGCGGCGUGCCUAAUACAUGCAAGUUGAGCGCCGAAGGUUGGUACUUGUACCCACUGGAUGAGCAGCGAACGGGUGAGUAACGCGCGGGGAAUCUGCCUUUGAGCGGGGGACAACAUUUGGAAACGAACGCUAAUACCGCAUAAAAAUUUUAAACACAAGUAUUAAGUUUCAAUGAUGCAAUUGCAUCACUCAAAGAUGAUCCCGCGUUAUAUUAGCUAGUUGGUGAGGUAAAGGCUCACGAAGGCGAUGAUACAUAGCCAGCAUAAGAGGGUGAUCGGCCACAAUGGGACUGAGACACGGCCCAAAGUCAUACGUGAGGCAGCAGUAGGGAAUCUUCGGCAAUGGACGAAAGUCUGACCGAGCAACGCCGCGUGAGUGAAGAAAGUUUUAGGAUCGUAAAACUCUGUUGGUAGAGAAGAACGUUGGUGAGAGUGGAAAGCUCAUCAAGUGACGGUAACUACCCAGAAAGGGACGGCUAACUACGUGCCAGCCGCCGCGGUAA
rnacentral:rRNA from 1 species